rnacentral:rRNA from 1 species
AGGACGAACGCUGGCGGCGUGCUUAACACAUGCAAGUCGAACGGUGAAGGAGAGCUUGCUCUCCGGAUCAGUGGCGAACGGGUGAGUAACACGUGAGUAACCUGCCCUUGACUCUGGGAUAAGCGUUGGAAACGACGUCUAAUACCGGAUACGAGCUUCAGCCGCAUGGCUAGGAGCUGGAAAGAAUUUCGGUCAAGGAUGGACUCGCGGCCUAUCAGCUAGUUGGUGAGGUAAUGGCUCACCAAGGCGACGACGGGUAGCCGGCCUGAGAGGGUGACCGGCCACACUGGGACUGAGACACGGCCCAGACUCCUACGGGAGGCAGCAGUGGGGAAUAUUGCACAAUGGGCGCAAGCCUGAUGCAGCAACGCCGCGUGGGGGACGAAGGCCUUCGGGUUGUAAACCGUCGUUUUAAGUAGGGUAACGAAGCGAAAGGUGACGGUACCUGACAAGAAAAAGCCAACCGGACUAACGUACCGUAGACCAGACCAGCCGC